ACCUGAUAAUGGUGAUGCAGGGAGCAAAGCAGCCUUUGGAGAACAGGCGAAUUGCACUCACAAGCUCCACACCUGCAUUUGAGUUGUGAAGCAGAUCUUGGGCUGGAUCCCAUGGGAGAACAGACUUGGAUGUGAAAUGCAAAAUAAAGGACUUGUGAAUCCACAGA